GCCCUUAUAGCUCAGCGGCAGAGCGUUCGCCUCGUAAGCGAAAGGCCCGUGGUUCAAUCCCGCGUGAGGGCA